UACGAAGGGGGCUAGCGUUGCUCGGAAUGACUGGGCGUAAAGGGCGCGUAGGCGGUUCAUACAGUCAGAUGUGAAAUUCCUGGGCUCAACCUGGGGGCUGCAUUUGAUACGUGUGGACUAGAGUGGGGAAGAGGGUCGUGGAAUUCCCAGUGUAGAGGUGAAAUUCGUAGAUAUUGGGAAGAACACCGGUGGCGAAGGCGGCGACCUGGUCCUUGACUGACGCUGAGGCACGAAAGCGUGGGGAGCAAACAGG
rnacentral:rRNA from 1 species